rnacentral:rRNA from 1 species
UACGGAGGAUGCGAGCGUUAUCCGGAUUUAUUGGGUUUAAAGGGUGCGCAGGCGGCACGGCAAGCCGGCGGUCAAAUCGCGGGGCUCAACCCCGCCCAGCCGUCGGAACUGCCGGGCUAGAGUGGGCGAGAAGUGCGCGGAAUGCGUGGUGUAGCGGUGAAAUGCAUAGAUAUCACGCAGAACUCCGAUUGCGAAGGCAGCGCACCGGCGCCCUACUGACACUGAGGCUCGAAAGCGUGGGGAGCAAACAGG